AUUGAACGCUGGCGGCAGGCCUAACACAUGUAAGUCGAGCGGAGCGGCGGACGGGUGAGUAAUGCCUAGGAAUCUGCCUGGUAGUGGGGGAUAACGUCCGGAAACGGGCGCUAAUACCGCAUACCAUCGGAUGUGCCCAGAUCGGAUUGGCUAGUUGGUGGGGUAAAGGCCCAGCAAGGCGACGAUCCGUAACUGGUCUGAGAGAAUGAUAAGUCACUCUGGAACUGAGGCACGGUCCGAACUCCUACGGGAGGAAGCAGUGGGGAAUAUUGGACAAUAGGCGAAAGCCUGAUCCAGCCAUGCCGCGUGUGUAAAGAAGGUAUUCGGAUUGUAAAGCACUUGAAAUUGUGAGGCGUUACCAACAGAAUAAGCACCGGCUAACUUCGUGCCAGCAGCCGCGGUAAUUC
rnacentral:rRNA from 1 species